CUCUGUCGCACGCGACCCUGGCGGUGGCUGCAGCGACAGCGCUUGGCGCGCGGAGCUACAGCCAUGGCAGUCGCCGUCGAGGGCGCCCGCAGGAAAGAGCGCAUCCUCUGCCUGUUUGACGUGGACGGGACCCUCACGCCAGCUCGCCAGAAAAUUGACCCUGAGGUAUCGGCCUUCCUGCAGAAGCUACGAAGCAGGGUACAGAUCGGCGUGGUGGGUGGCUCUGACUACUCUAAGAUCGCCGAGCAGCUGGGAGAGGGGGAUGAAGUCAUUGAGAAGUUUGACUACGUGUUUGCUGAGAAUGGGACAGUGCAGUAUAAACACGGACGGCUACUCUCCAAACAGACGAUCCAGAACCACCUGGGGGAGGAGCUCCUGCAGGACUUGAUCAACUUCUGCCUUAGCUACAUGGCCCUGCUCAGACUGCCCAAGAAGCGUGGGACCUUCAUUGAGUUCCGGAAUGGCAUGCUGAACGUCUCGCCCAUUGGCCGCAGCUGCACCCUGGAGGAGAGGAUCGAGUUCUCGGAACUGGACAAGUGUCUUCUUGGUGUGCAGCCCAGACUGGCCUCAGCGUCACUGUGUCGCCGUGCCAGCUUCCUGUUUGCGGCUCUUAUAGAAGGAGAAGAUCCGGGAGAAGUUUGUGGAAGCCUUGAAGACAGAGUUUGCUGGCAAGGGGCUGCGGUUCUCCCGAGGAGGCAUGAUAAGCUUCGAUGUCUUCCCCGAGGGCUGGGAUAAGCGCUACUGCCUGGACAGCCUGGAUGAAGACAGCUUUGACAUCAUCCACUUCUUUGGAAAUGAGACCAGUCCUGGCGGGAAUGACUUUGAGAUCUAUGCGGACCCCCGGACUGUCGGCCAUAGCGUGGUCUCCCCUCAGGACACUGUACAGCGAUGCCGUGAGCUCUUCUUCCCAGAGACAGCCCACGAGGCGUGACUGGGCCCACAGCUGAGCACUGGGACCUUCAAAGAGCUCUGACCAGGCCUGAAGAUAGAACCAUUGGGUGCCACGGUUCCCAUCCCACUGGCCCAACACGUAGCAUCCUGUGGGGGCACUGCAGGGUCACCCACACAGGACCAACGUCUGUGUGGGAACUGUCCCCAGCCAGGUGGCUCCUGACGAGACGCAUACCUGCUCUCUACCCUGAUGGUCCUGGCCUCUGAUGCUGCUGGUUUUGGGGACAGAACAGGUCUCACCACAGGGUGGCAUGGGAGUUGUGCUAUGGAGCCUGCUGGCCACAGACUGACAAGGGACAGAAUGGCAGAGAAGGGGCAUUACUUAAAGGACUCUGUCACAGAUAUUAAAGUUCCCAAGACAAGG